UACGUAGGGUGCGAGCGUUAAUCGGAAUUACUGGGCGUAAAGCGUGCGCAGGCGGUUCGUUGUGUCGGCGGUGAAAGCCCCGGGCUCAACCUAGGAAUGGCCGUUGAAACUGGCGAACUGGAGUGUGGCAGAGGGGGGUGGAAUUCCGCGUGUAGCAGUGAAAUGCGUAGAGAUGUGGAGGAACACCGAUGGCGAAGGCAGCCUCCUGGGCCAGCACUGACGCUCAUGCACGAAAGCGUGGGGAGCAAACAGG
rnacentral:rRNA from 1 species